rnacentral:misc_RNA from 1 species
GGGGGGGUGACUUCCAAAUGCGUGAAUACCAAACAACUCUCCAGACUUAAACAAUUAAAUAGAAAAUAUAAAGCACAACCAUUUCCAAGUUCCGGCAUUCAAAUUGAUUCGACUCCACGACAACAAUUCAACAGUUCAGAUUUAGGUGCAUCUUUGUAAAAUGGCAAUCAACAAGUCUAAAAAACACACUUAAAUUCCCUUAAAAGUUAAAACUCCACAUUUAAUAUAUUCCAAUAUACACCAGCAAGCAUAACAAGUGCAAAUCCAUAGGCCUUCAAUUGCAAUUUUGUCUUUUGUUGGAAGACUUGGUUCAUACAAUAACUUUUCAACAAUAGUUAAAUUCUCAGAGAAAUAUCUUAUGCUUCUUAAGAUUGCCUUCUCAUAUAUAGCGAUCUCAGCUAUAUCUUUUAAAUGAAACAAGAAGCAGUUAUUUGACUUAUUAAUUAAUUCCAAGUAACCUGUUGGGAAUUUGGGAUUUAAGCAAGUAAUACCUCUAAUAAUUCUAGAAUGAAUACAAAUAAUUCAAAACAAAACACAAGUGGCCUGCUUUGAUGAUCUCAUAAUGACCUGUGACCUGGACCUAGAAAGGAUCAUUGGAAUGAUACCGCCAUCCUACAACUCAUAUCAUUGACUAGGAGAGUACAUUUUGAAAUUCAAAUAUUCAAUUAUAGUUAAUAUUAGCAACCAAAACCCCAUUAGCUACUCAUUAUUAUUUCAUUUCCUCAAAAUAUCUAAUAUAAUCAGUGUUUCCUAUGUACCUAAUAAAAGUCCAGAAAACAAGUUGGACAAUUUGGGAACACUGUGUGCAUCAUUUGGCACACAUUGCAGAAUGCAAGAUAUAUAUAUGUUUCAAUACCAUAACACCAACCGCUCAAAUAUUUGAAACUACUGUUAGUCCUGACAUUUCUGAAGAUUCACACACACAUAUAUACACAUACGCCAACAAGAUGUUAAUCAUUGUUUACUCAGGCAGGCAAGGUGUAAACAAACAUUGCUGAAAUUCUAACAUAACCACAAUUUCUAAACCAAAAAAUAUAUAUACAUAUAUAUACCCCUUGAAUCCUCUUGCCAGUAAC